rnacentral:rRNA from 1 species
AUUGAACGCUGGCGGCAUGCUUUACACAUGCAAGUCGAACGGCAGCGCGGGCUUCGGCCUGGCGGCGAGUGGCGAACGGGUGAGUAAUGCAUCGGAACGUGCCCAGUAGUGGGGGAUAGCCCGGCGAAAGCCAGAUUAAUACCGCAUACGACCUGAGGGUGAAAGCGGGGGACCGAAAGGCCUCGCGCUAUUGGAGCGGCCGAUGUCGGAUUAGCUAGUUGGUGGGGUAAAGGCUUACCAAGGCGCCGAUCCGUAGCUGGUCUGAGAGGACGACCAGCCACACUGGGACUGAGACACGGCCCAGACUCCUACGGGAGGCAGCAGUGGGGAAUUUUGGACAAUGGGGGCAACCCUGAUCCAGCCAUGCCGCGUGCGGGAAGAAGGCCUUCGGGUUGUAAACCGCUUUUGUUCGGGAAGAAAUCCUCUGGGCUAAUACCCCGGGGGGAUGACGGUACCGGAAGAAUAAGCACCGGCUAACUACGUG